rnacentral:lncRNA from 1 species
GUAUUGCUUGUCACAGUCCCAUUUUCCUUUCAAUUUUAUUUAUAUCAGUGAUGAACAAAAGUAAAAUUUAUGCUCAUAAUCAGCCUUUUUUUUUUUUUUUUUUUUUUUUUGUCUUUUGUCUUUUUAGGGCCGCACCCGCAGCAUAUGGAGGUUCCCAGGCUAGGGGUCCACUCAGAGCUGUAGCUGCUGGCCUACACCACAGCCACAGCAACUCGGGAUCCGAGCUGUGUCUGCGACCCCACACCACAGCACAUGGCAACACCGGAUCCUUAACCCACUAAGCAAGGCCAAGAAUUGAACCUUCAACCUUAUGGUGCCUAGUCGGAUUCACUAACCACUGAGCCACAUCGAGAACUCCAGGAACCUGUAUUUUUAAACCUCUCCCAAGGUGACACAGCCCUGCCAGGUGCAGGAGAGCCACCUCCCGGGACACAGCUGCUUGGUCACUCCUGGUGGGCCAGGAUUCCCAGCGCCCUGGGACCUUGUGAGUAUAAACUUCCUUCCGCCAAGCCCAGUAAGACAGCCUCCCCAGAGGAACAGACUGGUGGUGUCCAGACUUCCUCAAAGCCUGAGGGACUGAAGGUGGCUGGGCAGGCAGCCAAGGGGAGGGGAGGGGUGGAGUCCUCUGACAGCUGCCCUCAGCCUCAGGGCUGGCCCUGAGAAGCCCAGUGCCACUGGCCACCUGCCCAGUCAACAAUCCAGAAAGGGCCAGGCCACAUUCCCCUCUGCACUCUUGGCUGAAUGAACCAGAGGUCCUCAGACAAUGGUUCUGACUGCAGAAGUUUGAAAAAUGCUGCUGCCUAGGUGCCACCCCCAAGGAGGCCCCAGCUAGUUGGUCUGGGGUACACUUGACCACGGCUGAUUCUACUAUGUGCAAGCAGGGCGAGGACCAUGGAACUGGGGGGGAAGAGUGAACAUAAGGAAAGGACUUUGCUGGAGGCGAGUGUAGAACCCAGAAGAGAUCCUGCUCACGCCCCAAAAUGGGGAUUUUAUCCAGAGGGACGAUGGCGGUGACUAUUUCUGGGCUCCUGUGUGUGCUUACCACGUGCCAGCUGUCGUCCAAGGCAUCUUCACCUCUUCCCAGACCUGAGGGAGGGCUCACCUCACUCACCAAGUCCUGCUCUUAACCAGCUGGUUCUUGGAAGACUGUGAAGGCUCACAAAAAAAAAGAGUGAAGACUUUUCAUGAAAACCUAGAAAACUGCAAGCUACUUUACACCUACUCAUUCAAGAAAUGUCCAGCUUUCCUACCCUUUGUGCCUGGUGCUGACGUCCAGAGCUGGGCACUCAAACUGGAUGGGAAAGCACGCAGUAGUUCACAUAGCAUCCUGUUCAGAGAAAUGGCAAGAAACCGAAAAGUGGAGUGCACCACCCUCGGAGAGCUAAGAACUUUCUACAAGUUGUUGCAGUGGUGUGUGGGUCUGUGUGUAUGUGUCCACACUAGGUCUUGAUGGGAAAGGCAUUUCUUAUUGUCAGUCACAGUCCGAAACACUUGAGAAACAGAGACAGAUGGGCAAGAGACAAGCCUUCGUGUACCGAAUAUAAUUGUGUAAGCAAACGCAGUUCUGUUAACCUAAGAAGCCCCCAACUGUAACUGCGUGGUAGUUACAAAUUUCUAGAUACACCUUGAAAUUCACUUUGUGGCCAUGACACCCAAAGUAGAAGAAAUGGGUGAAAAGAGUAUAAACAGCCUUCUCCAUGGUUUGGGAAGCGUCCCCCACUCCCCCAGGAAUUUCAGCCCAGCACCACCAUCACCCCUAAGACCGACCAAUGGUGGGCCUUAAUGUCUUCCUCAAGUCUCGAAGGUACAAUAGCACAUACCUUGGUAGAUUUAUGGAGAAAGAUCUCCGGACUAUUAGUCCACGGGGCGCCCAGGGGCUGAAUCGGCCCAGGGAAACCAGGAGUGGAAAGCUGCCCCCAGCAUCCCCAAACCCUUCCUUCUUCUCCGUCAGGCUGCUUAACCGUUUUCAGCCUGCUGAGCAUGCUAGUUGUUGCAGCUGGAUGGAGCCCAGGAUUCCUAGAGCUCUCAAAGGCGGUCCCACGAAUGAUGGGACUUCAGGCCGCUCAGAGCGCACAUCCAGCAGACCUGCAGCAAAGGACCAGCACAGCUACCAUGUACGGCGGUGCCGCAACCAAAUGCAGAGCAAACACGUCGGCCCAGCGUCGCCUGCCCUCGGGUUCGGGGGGCCUGGCUCCCCCAAUUCCAGCAUUAAGGAUGAUCCCCUGUACUUGCUGUCCUGUGGCAUCACCGGUAGGCGCUGGCUUCACUCUGGAAAACAACAUCUCACCCACCUGUGGACAAGCUUUUGUCCUAAAAACUGAUCAUUUCUCAGACUACAAGCUUCACCAAGUGCUUGAUACCGGCCCUCGAUCCGUUUGCAAGACCGGGGCUUCCAUGUUACGGUCUCAUAAAACACUGAACUCUCACGCAGCCACCUGUCAGUCAACCAGCAGCACAGCUUAGUGGUUACAUCCACAAAGGACUAAGCAAAGUGUUGGGAAGGUUACGCUCCAAAACGUUUCAGUUUUUACCUUUGGGGAGGGGUGAAAGAGGACAAGUUGAAAGGGUCUUUAAGGUGAAAUGUCUGACAUUUUAAUUUUCUUCACAAAAAUGCAUGAGUGUUAAUCUCUUCAAUGGCACAUUUAAAAAAAGAAAAAGCUAUCAGAAUUAUUUAGCGUUGAUAUUCCAGACUUAAGGACUCCUCUGAUGAGAAGCAGAUUCAAACAGUAGACGUAAGUCUACUCACAGAAUUCAAGGCACUAAACUUCGCAUUGUUCUUUUUUUUUUUUCUAUUUCAGAGAUGAUGAAACAGAACCCAGAGAGAGAAACUUACCCAGGUUCUCAUACCUAGUAAAUGGUGAAGUCAGCAUUCAAAUCCACAUAAUUUCAAGCAAAGAUUCUUCUUUCAUACAAGGGGGCAGAAGGUAAGUGAACACUGUAAGAUCUUUUCUGUCCACUAGUAGUAGAUACGCAACACCGGCUAAGAUGUAGGGAGAAAAGGCACUCUCAUCACCAUGGUGAUGCAACUAUUAACUGAUCCUCCUACUUUGAUAGGACCGUUCAAUAUUUUAAAUAUGUGAAUUCCUUUGAACCAGCCAUUUCCCCUGCAGAAAUUUAUCCUAGGGAAACCUAAAAAAAAAAAAAAAAAAAAA